AGCUUUGCACAGUGGCAAUAUUGUAGCCAAUGAGGUUUAUCCAAGGCACAAUUAUUGCUAAUUAUAAUGAAUAAGGGUAGUCCUAUGCAGGAAAACCCAAGUCUGCUUAUAUUUCAUGUAGCACACCCUGUCCUACUGAUGUAUACUUAUUAUUAGG
ensembl:snRNA U4 U4 spliceosomal RNA